UCGGGAAUAUUGGUCAAUGGACGCAAGUCUGAACCAGCCAUGCCGCGUGAAGGAUGAAGGUCCUCUGGAUUGUAAACUUCUUUUAUCUGGGACGAAAACGGGAUUUUUAUCUCAAUUGACGGUACCAGAGGAAUAAGCACCGGCUAACUACGUGCCAGCAGCCGCGGUAAUACGUAGGGUGCGAGCGUUAAUCGGAAUUACUGGGCGUAAAGCGUGCGCAGGCGGUUUUGUAAGACAGAUGUGAAAUCCCCGGGCUUAACCUGGGAACUGCGUUUGUGACUGCAAGGCUGGAGUACGGCAGAGGGGGGUGGAAUUCCACGUGUAGCAGUGAAAUGCGUAGAGAUGUGGAGGAACACCGAUGGCGAAGGCAGCCCCCUGGGCCUGUACUGACGCUCAUGCACGAAAGCGUGGGGAGCAAACA
rnacentral:rRNA from 1 species